UACGUAGGCAGCAAGCGUUGUUCGGAGUUACUGGGCGUAAAGGGUGUGUAGGCGGUUGGAUAAGUGUGGUGUGAAAUCUCCCGGCUUAACUGGGAGGGUGCGCUACAAACUGUCUGACUAGAGUGUGGGAUGGGUGAGUGGAAUUCCUGGUGUAGCGGUGAAAUGCGUAGAUAUCAGGAGGAACACCGGUGGUGUAGACGGCUUACUGGACCAUAACUGACGCUGAGACACGAAAGCGUGGGUAGCAAACAGG
rnacentral:rRNA from 1 species